rnacentral:lncRNA from 10 species
UUUGGACUGAGAAGCAUCGAGGCUAUAGGACGCAGCUGUUGCCAUGACGGCCCAGGGGGGCCUGGUGGCUAACCGAGGCCGGCGCUUCAAGUGGGCCAUUGAGCUAAGCGGGCCUGGAGGAGGCAGCAGGGGUCGAAGUGACCGGGGCAGUGGCCAGGGAGACUCGCUCUACCCAGUCGGUUACUUGGACAAGCAAGUGCCUGAUACCAGCGUGCAAGAGACAGACCGGAUCCUGGUGGAGAAGGUACAGAGCGCUGCUGGGACAUCGCCUUGGGUCCCCUCAAACAGAUUCCCAUGAAUCUCUUCAUCAUGUACAUGGCAGGCAAUACUAUCUCCAUCUUCCCUACUAUGAUGGUGUGUAUGAUGGCCUGGCGACCCAUUCAGGCACUUAUGGCCAUUUCAGCCAGUAAGUAUUCUUGAAACAAUAACCCUUCCAUAAGUUUGAAGAAUUAAAGGCAGGCCGGGCAUGGUGGCUCACGCCUGUAAUCCCAGCACUUUGGGAGGCGCCAAGCUGGGUGGAUCAUCUGAGGGCAGGAGUUCGAGACCAGCCUGGCCAACAUGGUGAAACCUUGUCUCUACUAAAAAUGC